AACGAGGCCGACCUGCGGCUGAGUUACCUGCGGAGGGAUCAUUACACAAUACAAUAUGAAGGCUGUCCGCAGCUGGAGUAUUUUAUUACCCUUGUCUUUUGCGCACUUGUUGUUUCCUGGGCGGGUUCGCUCGCCACCAGGACCACCAAAUAAACCUUUUUUAUGCAGUUGCAAUCAGCGUCAGUACAAACAAUGUAAAUCAUUUACAACUUUCAGCAAUGGAUCUCAGAUCGGAAGAGC
rnacentral:misc_RNA from 1 species